rnacentral:lncRNA from 1 species
AAACAGGCCAGUCCGUCUGAGGGUGCAAGUCUAGGCAGUCGAGAGAGACCCCGGAGGCAGGCCUGGGCUUUGGGUUGCCUCUCUGAGGGGUAUUCCUGUCCAGCUCCCAGGUGAGCAAGAUAACUGACCUUGGGGUUCCCUGGAGGGGACACUGGAUCUGCUGUGGAUGGGGAAGGGCCCCCAGGGGCCAGCCUCGAAUCAAGUUUGAGCAGGGCACCCAGGGCCUGUUGCUCCGGGGUGAGGCGGAGUCACCUUCUUCAGGCCCAUACCCUGAAGGCCCAGAGUGGGAGCCAGGGAUUCUCCCCCAUAACCCUCUGCUUUUGGUGUUCCACAGCCUGCUGGAGUAUGAUACUGUGACCAGGGAAGUAAAAGUUUUAUUGGACCAGCUGCGGUUCCCGAAUGGAGUCCAGCUGUCUCCUGCAGAAGACUUUGUCCUGGUGGCAGAAACAACCAUGGCCAGGAUACGAAGCUCUUUAGUCAAGAGACGGUGAUGAAGUUUGUGCCGCGGUACAGCCUCGUCCUAGAACUCAGCGACAGCGGUGCCUUCCGGAGAAGCCUGCAUGAUCCCGAUGGGCUGGUGGCCACCUACAUCAGCGAGGUGCACGAACACGAUGGGCACCUGUACCUGGGCUCUUUCAGGUCCCCCUUCCUCUGCAGACUCAGCCUCCAGGCUGUUUAGCCCUCCCAGAUAGCUGCCCCUGCCACGCAGGCCAGGAGUCUUCACACUCAGGCACCAGGCCUGGUCCAGGAGGAGCUGUGGACACAGUCGUGGUUCAAGUGUCCACAUGCACCUGUUAGUCCCUGAGAGGUGGUGGGAAUGGCUGCUUCAUUCCUCGAGGAUGCCCGGGCCCCACCUGGGCUUGUCUUUCUGUUUAGAGGGAAGUGUAACAUAUCUGCCAUGAGGAACAUAAAUUCAUGUAAAGCCAUUUUCUCUUAAACAAAACAAAACUUUCUAAGUACAGUCAUUCUCUAGGAUUUGGGAAGCUCCUUGCACUUGGAACAGGGCUCAGGUGGGUGGAGCAGUAAGGCACUACCCAGAGAGCUUGCUGCUGCGGCCCUGUCCUGCGGCCUCAAAGUUCUUCUUUACUAUAUAUAACGUGCGGUCAUACCUUUCUUCGUUGUGGUGGGGAUGGAAGAGCAGAGGGAGCAUGGCCCAGGGGUGUUGAGGCCAGCGGUGAGAGCCGUGUUAGCCAAGACAUGGAACUGUGUUCUCAAGGGUUAUGUGGGGCGUGGGCUCUCCAUAGUGUGUAUGAAAAGCUUGUUGACUCUAGCGGCUCAGAGAGGACUUUGCUGGGUUUCUUUCUGUGAAUAUCUCCGUGCUGACCAUGCUGGAAUUGGAUGAUUCUGCAAUUCGGGACCUACUGCAGGGGUCCGUUUAGUAACGUCUUGUCUGUGAUCUUUGUUCUUGACCUCUAGACCCCAAGAUGUGAACAGUGCACGUGUUAAUGUCAUCUUUGCUCAUGUGUUAUAAGCCCCAAGUUGCUGUAUAUUUUCACAAGUAUGUCUACACACUGGUCAUGAUUUUGAUAAUAA